rfam:Cavia porcellus supercont2_4 genomic scaffold, whole genome shotgun sequence.
AGGGGUUUAGCUCAGCGGCAUAAGCGCCUGCCUUGCAAGCAGGCAGUCCUGAGUUCAAUCCCCGGUACCGAUA